rnacentral:rRNA from 1 species
GUGCCAGCCGCCGCGGUAAUACCGGCAGCUCAAGUGAUGUCCCAUAUUAUUGGGCCUAAAGCGUCCGUAGCUGGCCGACCAAGUCUCCCGGGAAAUCCAUCAGCUCAACUGAUGGGCGUCCGGCGGAAACUGCACGGCUUGGGACCGGAAGGCUCGAGAGGUACGUCCGGGGUAGGAGUGAAAUCCCGUAAUCCCGAACGGACCACCGAUGGCGAAAGCAUCUCGAGAAAACGGAUCCGACAGUGAGGGACGAAAGCUAGGGUCUCGAACCGGAUUAGAUACCCUAGUAGUCC